AGUGAACGCUGGCGGUAGGCCUAACACAUGCAAGUCGAACGGCAGCACAGUAAGAGCUUGCUCUUACGGGUGGCGAGUGGCGGACGGGUGAGGAAUACAUCGGAAUCUACUUUUUCGUGGGGGAUAACGUAGGGCCACUUACGCUAAUACCGCAUACGACCUACGGGUGAAAGCAGGGGAUCUUCGGACCUUGCGCGAUUGAAUGAGCCGAUGUCGGAUUAGCUAGUUGGCGGGGUAAAGGCCCACCAAGGCGACGCUCCGUAGCUGGUCUGAGAGGAUGAUCAGCCACACUGGAACUGAGACACGGUCCAGACUCCUACGGGAGGCAGCAGUGGGGAAUAUUGGACAAUGGGCGCAAGCCUGAUCCAGCCAUACCGCGUGGGUGAAGAAGGCCUUCGGGUUGUAAAGCCCUUUUGUUGGGAAAGAAAAGCAGCAGGUUAAUACCCCGCUGUUCUGACGGUACCCAAAGAAUAAGCACCGGCUAACUUCGUG
rnacentral:rRNA from 1 species